rnacentral:piRNA from 1 species
UAUCAGACUGCUAUGCUCUCCUCAAGGUG